CCACAUGUCAGCAAAAAUUGCUCCUAUCGCAUUGCUUUGGAUGUGUGUCUUUAUUGUUCCACCGUAUUAGUAAGAGAGUUUCAUCUUGGAGCAAUCCCAACACCAACAUCUGAAGAAAAGGAGGGAGAUAACCAACUCCAGAUACAGUUUGCUUCUUCUACUACAACGACUACUACUACUACUACUACUACUACUAUUAGUACUACUACUACUACUACAUCACAGUUCCGUACCGUUUAGUUCUGUCUUCCAUUAUAAAUCCUAGCAGCAGAGAUUACAUGUGAAGCAAAGCAAAAAAAAAAACAGAAAGAGGAAAAGGAAAGAAAAAAUUAAUAAGUAAAAACGUUAAUGAAAUAUUCAAUCAUGAGUUUGUGCAUGUCCUUGGCAUCUCAAAAAUCCCACAGGAAACAUUUACCAGAUAAAGAAUCUUGUAAAGAAACCUUUACAAAUGGGAGUGUAGAUACACCUAACCUAUCCAGUAAUAAUACAUUCAUUAUGAGUAUACAUUCAAAUCAGUUUUAUACAGUGGAAGUUGGUGAUUCUACAUUCACAAUCCUCAAACGGUACCAGAACCUUAAGCCAAUAGGAUCAGGUGCUCAGGGUAUAGUAUGUGCUGCCAUUGACAAUGUGAAACAAAUAAGUGUAGCAAUCAAGAAGCUAAGUAGGCCAUUCCAAAAUGUCACACAUGCUAAACGGGCCUAUCGAGAGUUUGUCCUUAUGAAACUAGUUAAUCACAAAAAUAUUAUAGGUCUCUUAAAUGCAUUCACACCACAGAAAACUUUAGAGGAUUUUCAAGAUGUGUACCUUGUUAUGGAACUAAUGGAUGCAAACCUGUGUCAGGUCAUACAGAUGGAUUUAGAUCAUGAAAGAAUGUCAUAUCUUCUCUAUCAAAUGCUAUGUGGAAUUAAGCAUUUGCAUUCAGCAGGGAUUAUCCACAGAGAUUUAAAGCCCAGUAACAUAGUGGUGAAAGCAGAUUGUACUCUGAAGAUUCUAGAUUUUGGUUUAGCACGGACAGCAGGUACUGGUUUUAUGAUGACACCAUAUGUAGUAACAAGAUAUUACCGUGCUCCAGAAGUCAUUCUUGGUAUGGGUUAUAAAGAAAAUGUUGAUAUCUGGUCAGUUGGCUGUAUUAUGGCUGAGUUGAUACGAGGUGGUGUACUAUUCCCUGGCACUGAUCAUAUAGAUCAAUGGAAUAAAAUAAUCCAACAGUUAGGAACGCCGUCUCAAGACUUCAUGUGUAGAUUACAGCCUACAGUUCGGAGCUACGUCGAGAACCGUCCCCGGUUUACAGGCUACACCUUUGAUAUUUUGUUUGCAGACUGUAUGUUCCCCGCAGAUAGCCGCGAACACCAAGGGCUGCAGGCUUCCGUGGCUAGAGAUUUACUGUCCAAGAUGCUGGUUGUUGAUCCCGAACGAAGGAUAUCCGUUGAUGAGGCAUUGAUGCACCCUUACAUCAAUGUUUGGUAUGAUGAAGGAGAAGUAAAUGCGCCUGCUCCUGGACCUUACGACCACUCUGUAGAUGAGAGAGAACACUCUGUAGAGGAAUGGAAAGAACUUAUAUAUGAUGAAGUAAAAAAAUAUGAAAACAAAGAUAAUCAAAUAACAAAUGCUAUGCAAAAUCUCUCAGGUAAGCUAAAAGUGUAGUUUGGGAAGAACCUACCACUGCCACAGCAUGAAGACAGGCAAGCAGAGAUCAUAUCGAUGGACCAACAAAUGACUCUGCCCCUAAGGACAGUGUAGCAACAGGCUCUCCAGGUCAGAACAGGCAUCGGUGACUGCUGUGUAUAUAUAUAUAUAUAUAUGUGUGUGUGUGUGUAUGUAUAUAUGUAUAUAUAUAUAUAUAUAUACACACACACACUCACACACACUCUCUUUCUCUCACACACAUACACAAAUAUAUAUAUAUACACACACACAUACAAACAUACACAAUGUAAAAAUACUACAGGCAUAAUUUAUUUGGGCUGACGAGCUGUUGCCUCCACCACCACUACCAUUACUACUACUUCUACUACUACUACUACUCUUACUACUACUACUACUACUACUACCACCUGUGCUGCACACUACUACUUCUACUUCGACUACUAUUAUUACUACUACUACUAUGUUAGAGGUUGUCCCUCCCCAUCACCACCACACCACUACCACCACCACGACCACCCUACUCUUACUGCAACCACUAAUUCCUUUGACAUCCUUUUCGUCACCACUCAUUGUCUCUCUCUCUGUUAUUAUUAUUAUUAUUGUUGUUGUUGUUGUUGUCUCUCUUCCUCUUUUUACUGUCAACUGCCACCUACCUACCUACCUACUUAUGUACAGCUGUGAAGGAAUCAUCAUCAUCAUCGUGGUCAUCUGUGAGAAGACACCUAACAAAAACAAGGGAACUUACUAGAAACAGCAGCCAAGUCCCCUCUUGAUAAAGAGAACAAUGCAUAACCUUUAUGUCAUCACUUAAUAAAAACAACAGCCAAAUCUCCCUUUGGUAGAGAGAAGGACAUAUUGGAUAGCCUCUGUGUCAUCGCUUGACAUUGUAGAAGUAGCAGCCAAAUAUCCCUUUGGUAAAGAGAAGGACACUUUGGAUAAGAUAGUCCUACAUAGCCUGCUAAAAACACAGGAUGGUUGUGGCUGGAAUGUUUUUGAUUAUAGGUCUACUCAAUCAGGCCUGACCUUGGGCUAAACAAUUACAACAACAGCAACCUUUAGCAUCACCGCUGCCACCACCGCUACCAACAACAACAACAACAUGACUGGACUGUGAGACAUGAGACUGGCUACAAGGGCAAAAACAUAUCAUUCCUGGUAAUGAACUAAGUUGAUGAUGAAGAUGAUGAUGAUAGCGGAUGAUUCUGUCCACAUCAUUUGCUUCCUCCUUCACUCCUGUCAAUAGACUGCAGGCAUCUUGUUAUCAAACUUGUUGAUGUCAUAAUCAGUGUUUUAGCCAUUAAGUUCUAAGGUGACUUAUUCAUUUAGCUAUUAUUUAUGUAUCCACUUCUCUAAGACACCUCUCUCUCUCUCUCUCUCUCUCUCUCCCUAUAUAUAUAUACAUAUAUAUAUA